rnacentral:lncRNA from 1 species
CUACUUCGUACAUUAAAUAAUAUAAAAUUAUUAUUUUUUAAAAAAAUUUAAAUUGAUAAAUAAUAGUAUUCAAAUAUUUUUAUAUUUAUAACUUUCUCUCACGUCAGAAUUCAAAAUAUUUUAUAUGCUCAUGAUGUAGAGUUGAAUUAAAUUUUAAAAAAUUACAUGUCUCGAACUAAAAAAUUUUUAUUUUGAUACUAUAUUAAAUAGUACGAAACAAUGUUAUUUUCUAAAAAUUUAAUCUGAUGAAGAAUUGUGUUUAAAUAUUUUUUUGUGUUUAAACACUAUACAAGAAUAGUGUUAGAAUUUAAAAUAAAAUAAAAUUAUGGCCAUGCAGUUCUAAGCAAGAUUUAGCAUUUAACUGGUUGUUAGUAUUUUCUUUUUUUUUUUUAAUAAAAUAACAUGAGGUGAGGAGACAUUAGAUAUAAAAGAAAUAUGGAGGCCCUCUCAUUUUGAAGAGCAAUUUGAUGAUUUACUGGUACUGUGCGCGAAGUCCAAUGAAAACCUAAAGACAGUGGAAACCGAUCAUGCAUACCAAUUAAAUUGCCGGUGUUUUUUUUUUUUAAAAAAAAAAGAAAGGUAGUAUGUUAUCUAAUUCGUUUAAUUUAUUUUAGAAAUAAACAUAGCUAGAAAUAUAAAUCAAUUAGAAUUUGAUCUUAGGAUAUCGUCACCUCGGAUAGCAACAACCAAAUUUUUUGUCAUUUGCACUAAAGACGGUCAGUAAAUUGCCUGUGAAUUAGGAGAGAAAGCAAAGACAAAGUUGAAGUAGUCCAAAGUGCAAACCUCAAAA